AUGAGCUUGUUUAAGGAAUUCAAGUAUGGACGUGGAGCAGCAGAUGGAUGGAUGUUAGCCAACACAAAAGUUGCACACGGCAGGUCUGAGAUCUUCCACUUGCUACUCGCUCUUGUCAAGACAUUAGGUGAUUAUAAGGCUGUCAUGGGUGAAGUGUUGGGGAAGCAUAACAAGGCUCUGGAGCAUCAAGUUCUUCCAAUUACUUCGGUAGAUGCCAAAGUAGUUCAGCCAGUUGCCCAAAAUAACCAAGUCUACCUUAAGCAAGGCCAUUGUCCAUCUCCAGAGAAGCGCAAGUCCAAUAGCCCACUAGAUAAGGCUAUCGAGGAGCCGUCUGAAAUAGAUGUACUUACUGCGUUAUUUGAAAUGAAUGGAUAUCUUGUUGACACAGUUUUGGGAUAA
rnacentral:rRNA from 1 species